UCCUGUGUUNCAUGCCUAACGUGNCGGAAAUUGUCCCUCGACGAGUCCUAAUUUUUACCUCUGCCAAAUUCGUGGUGAUAGGUUGACGUGGAAGUACUGCCCAUUCUCCUUGAGUUCCUUGCCCUUUGGCAUUGCAUUCAUGGCCCAUGGGUUGCUACUAGUUCCCUUUGGAUGCAGAACCUUUGGAUGGGUGCACAGUAAGUUGCUGUUGUUUACCCACAAAGUGUUCAUCGGUCGGUGCGUACGACAGCUGUGCCCGUCUUGGUUCCCUGUCUAACUUUUGUUUAGAUGUGGUCUCAUGCGGUGUCGGCGUCGCGAAGGAAUGCUACCUGGUUGAUCCUGCCAGUANUCAUAUGCUUGUCUC
rnacentral:misc_RNA from 1 species